CGUGAAGCUAUCAUUGCUCUCCGCAUGAACGAUUCUCUUCUCCCUCUAUAAAUUAACUCCGCUCUCUGUCAAGCUCAGCUUCUCAAAUCUUUCCAUCUUUCGGUUACUCGAGGUUUUAUCAGGGUUUUAUCUGAAAUUAAACCCUGAUUCCAGCCCUACAUCCGUGAACAUACCCCCUUAUCAACCUUUCUUACCUCGACGUUUCUCAUUUCCUCUUCCUCUAGGUUCUUUUGGUGAUCGAUUGUGGCUAGAUAUUGUUCCAGACUUCUGUUUCUGUCCUCUCUUAGCUUCGAUUCUUUCUUUUAUGGUCUUUCAAUGUUCCCUUGCGUUUCCAUACGCUAGAAUGUAAACGCAACCAGACGGGGUAUAAGCAAUGAUUAGGUGAUUUAUGGGCGAGAAUGGUACUUUUGCAUGUACUAUCUCAGGCGAAGUGAUAUGAGGUGUUGAAUAUGAGCCAUGGAGGUGGGGAGAGUGGAAGAGUGCAUGAAAAAUCACAACAUGCAAAGAGGAAAUCUGGUUCAAGUGGUGAUGAAUUUGCCCAAGCAAUUGCAAAGAUUGCUGUAGCACAAAUAUGUGAGAGUACUGGGUUUCAGACCUUUCAGCAGUCUGCUCUUGAAAUACUAUCUGACUUCACCAUCCAUUAUAUAAGCAAUCUAGGAAAGCUUGCCCAAUCCUUUGCUAAUUUAGCAGGCAGAGCAGAGGUUAAUGCUCUUGAUAUUAUUCAAGGAUUGGAAGAGUUGGGUUCUUCACAGGGUUUUGCUGGUGCUUCCGAUGUUGAUCAUUGUAUUGCAAGUUCAGGUACAAUUAGGGAACUUGUUCAGUAUGUUAGUGAAGCAGAGGAUAUCCCAUUUGCCUAUUCUAUUCCUCCUUUCCCUGUUGUCAGAGAGAGGAAGCCAGUUCCCAGUUUUUUGCAAAUUGGUGAGGCUCCUCCUGGGGAGCACAUUCCAGCUUGGCUAGCUGCAUUUCCUGAUCCUCAAACUUACCUUCAGUUGUCCACAGAGAAUGAAGGGGCUGCUGAUUCUAACACACGGAAGAUUGAGCUGGCACAGCUGCACAAGAAGAUUGAUAGGUCUCUACUGAACUUGCAGAAUUUUGCUUCCAAUGGGUCAGGGGGUCCUUCCUCUGUUGCCGCUAUUCGUGGUUCUGAGGCCAAACUAGCUGUUGAAGGGAACCCAUUUCUUGUUGCUCCAUUACAGUUUGGAGAGAAGGAAGUGUCCCAUGUUGUUCCUCCGGCUAAGCUUUCAAAUGAAGCUGCUGUGAGAAAUCCUAUUAAUCAAAAUUCUCUUCUGGGUAAUCACAUGUCAGUUCUGGACACGUUUGCUCCAGCUAUUGAAGCAAGGAAGUCCAGGUUAUGUGAUUCCGAAGAGGGUCAGAAGCGGGUUCUCUUGAAUCAAAGACCUGCUGUGCAAUUUAAGAUUGGGAUUGGCAAGAAGUCCGUGGGUACAGCACAAGAAUUGAGCUUACAGAAUAAGGGUGUUGAGAAGAUCGGCCCAUGGCAUGGAAAGGAUGGUGAGAAGGAUGAUAAGAAAAAGAGAGCUGAAAAAAUUCUGAAACAGUCUAUAGAGAACCCAGGGGAACUGGCGCAGUUGUAAAUUAGGUUUGGUUAGAAUCUGUAUACUUGUUUAGGAAACUAGCACUCUAGCAGCAGAAGAAGCUGGUUCCAGGUAGUUAAGGUCAGGGUUCGUGGUCGCCAGCAUAUGACUUUAGAAGGGGAAGUGAUGGGGAAUUGUUCCCACCAUAACAAGUUUUGGAGAACAGAGACAGGAAAAGACUGAAUCACAGGAAGAGACUGAAUCAUCAUAUCAAAACAGUUUCUAUGAAAGUACUACUUGGAAAACAAUUGCCUGCAACACCCAGCAGAUUGCACUUGUAGACCAAGUGCCUCACCAGUCACAACCUCACUUAAAAGAUCUUUAAAGAUCAAGCGCUCAACAUCCAGAACUAACCAUGGGAGUUCACUACUAUAAGUCGUCCAAUGCAUUGAUUGAUGCUUCAAAUCUGCCCGUAAGAUGUUUCCCACACAGUCAUUCUCAUCUUGUAAGCUGCAGUGUGAGGCAUUACCUUGCAGUCUGUCUACCUCGGAGCACAAUUCCCCCAAAAGCUUUUGUCCUCUUGGUCUUCUGUCCGCCAGCAUAUUUGGUGAGUGCCAAUACUUCGAACAACUUUCCAGACGUAAUUUGUGAGCUAGGAUUUCAUUCACAACAUCAAAUACAAGUUUUCUUUGGAUUUUGAUAUGAUGUUCUGACUGGGAAGCAUUUGCUCCCCUCUCUUUAUCAUUUGAAUUUGUGGUGCCUGCCUUAGCUUUUUCCAAGGCUAGGAAUAAAUCGGGGUCGACUGGGUAGCCUGUUUCAUGGAGGUGAAUGAUUGUAAAACCAGAUUCAAAAUCUUUCAGGAGACCUGAUGACAAUAGGAUUUCUAAAAUGUAUUGAUGGUCUGGGUUUGUCCUGUUGUAGUGAGGUGUAAUUUCAUCAAUGAAGGGUACCUCCUGAGCAGAUAACAUCAGUGUAAGAUCGUGAAUUAAGAGAUGGAUGUUGUCCGAUUUCUUAUGAUUGAUCACAGAAUGGAGAAUAUCAUUUGUGCUACUGGAAGAGUGAUUUAGGUCCGUGGGAUUCCACUCAAUCUCAUCUUCUGUGGCACGAAAAUGAAUUGAGAAUUAAAAAAAAAAAAUGCAUUUUUCAAUAAAUAUAACAAUGAAAGAGUUUACUCUAUCUCUCUCCUUCUCGGACUUAUCAUGUACGACGUCUAGUCAUUUAUAGAUAUGAUCCAUCUGUUAUCUUUUUUUAUUUCCUUAUAUUUUGUUGAAGCAUGAUCUCUAACGGUUUCAUUCACUCGUGUCCUUUUUCUUACCUUUUUCCUCCUCACAAGAUAUGAUUAUUGUAUCAUUCAACUCUUAAAUAAGGUCUGAGUAACUAUUAAAAGAGGAACUUGGAUCCUCACCUUUGAAGGCAACUGGUUUCUUCUUAAUGGGAGAUGGCAAGUCAUCAUUGUAGAAUGUUGCAUCAAGAACAGACACAGGACUUGGUUGUGCCGAGGAAACUACUGCUGGUUCUGCAAUUGAUCUAUCUUUCAUUGAUCUUGCUACUGUUUUCUGAAUGAGAGAAAAUGAAUCUGUUAAGUUUUUAUAAUAAAUGUUAUACAGAUGAAUAAGAGGAAGAAAACAUACUUUUUGUCUCUGGUGUGCUGGCUGGAUAAAGUUGUUAUUGAUCUUAUUAGAUUUAUUAGUGCUUGUGACUUCUUCAUCAACCUGUGAGGCCAAGCUAAUAGUGCUCUCGGAUUGCUGAGAAAUUGUGUCCCCUUGGUGGCUCAUAUCCCUCACAACGCUACUGCUAUCACUCAGUUCAUCAUCGCUUGGCUGCAAAUUUGCAGAUUUUGGUUUUGAUUUUCUGCAUGAGGAAGUUGAUUCUGUGAUCUGUCUACUGGACUGCUUCUGGGUCUUGAUUGGGUCUGAUAAUUGUGUUGUGGGACGAGUUUGCUUCUCCAACCCAAUCUUUUUCCGUUGCUGUCUUAGGUUCAAGGCUCCCAAGCUCUUACCUGAGUUAUUACUCUCUCUAAUAGCAGACUGAGGCUCCUUUGAAGUUUGUGACAGCCUUGUCAAUCUGGCUACAGUAUUUUUAUCCAUCGGACAAGUGGGUAGACUGGAUCGGUCCCCAACAUGGUUGGCUCUAGGAGUUGGAUCUUUAGCAUUUUGUUUGUAAAAUGAUUCCUUUCUGCCAUCUGCAGAGUCAGCAGUCUGGAUCCUGUGCAGAACUGAAAAACUUGAUGUUGGGUUUACUGAGGAAGCAGGAUUAGUGGCUUUGAUGAGUUUAGUAGGUUUGAUAAUCACGAUUGGGGAUUUAGAACUCUUUGGUGAACUGGUCCUCCUGGUAGGGGUGGAAAUGGGGCUAGCACUCUGGAGGUUGUCCAGAUUUGAUAACUGUGAAUUCUGGUGAAGAAUGUUGUUACUGCUUGGCUGAGUUCCUAACUUUAUACUUUCAUUUCUGGUCUCUAAUCUCUCUUUUGUCUUCUGUAUUGCUUCAAGUAUUUGUUUAAGAGCCCUGAGAUCCUUUCCAGACCUUUUGAACUCAAGUUGUGCCAAAUUUUUCUCUAUUUCACCAUAAACAGAGAGAGAGGUGUUUUGGGCUUUUGGAGGUAUCCUACUUUUCAAGUCUAGUGUUUCAGAACCUCUGCUUCCAUCUGGCUGCCUCCGUGGUGCUGGUUCUAUUGGAAACUUUGAAUUUGUGAUAGGCUUCUUAACUGAGUCAACAUUUCUCAGCCAGGGCGAGAUAGGUUCCUUGUGAACAUUUCUUCGGGAGCCAGGAAUUCGAUUUUGCUUGCUCUCAUCGGUGUUUCUUGACGAUGCAAGGAAGGGAUUCUUUUCAACGUGUGGGUGUGUUUUGAUCUGUCUUCUCUGAUUCUCAUUGGUUGACAUGGAACCUGGGAAAGCUUCCAAUCCCAUCAACUUGGCCACAACAUUAGACAGUCGUGUAUGGCUUUCAGGUUCUUGUUGGUUUAAGAAAUUGUUGAAGUUCCUAUUCCCCCUCUCCAAAUCUCUUAGAGGAUCAUUUGAUUUCAUUUCCGUGGAGGGACCCCUCAUGGAACCUGCUCUGCUGUCCAAUGAUAGCCUUGGGAGCUCCUUAAGCUUUAUGGUAGAUUUGUUUAUGUCUCUUGAUUCCCUUCCAUCACAAGAAAGCCGUCGAGCAUCCUUCAGUCCAGAAGUCAAUGAAACAUGCUUCCCUUCACUGGAUUUGCGAGGUGCUUCCUGAAGCUUAUGAACAACUUGAAAUGAUUCCUUCAAACCUGUAACUUUGUUCUUGGCAGAUUUAGGCUGCUGCAGAGGUCUUGGGGAAUCAAAGUACUUCAAGGUUUGGCCCCCAGAUUCCCCUUUGGUUGCAGUUUUGACUGAUAAGCCACGGGCUUCUCUGUUGAUGGAGUCUUUGACAGCAUCUCUGAGAUCAGGGGAUUGCUGGCUUGACUGAAAAGAAGUGUUUGGUUGGUGUAUGGGUGAAGGCAAGUCUUGAGCAUGGGUUUCAGGAACAACGGUUUGAUUGAGUAAGCAUGGUUCCAGCGGAGAUGCUCUAUUGCAUUCUAAAGAUGACAAACUAGAAGAGCAGGAGGAAGAUGAAAAUGAGGUUCUGGAUGAUUCUGUGGGGACUCUCAGUUUCUCUUUGAUGGCCUUCUUGUGGUCUUUUUCCUGCAAAUGUAAGUUCAAUCUUCUUCAACAAUUUUGCUAAAAUAUUUCCAUUAAAGAAAAGAUUUUAGAUUUGAAUGCUUA